rnacentral:tRNA from 1 species
GGCUUGCUGGUCUAGUGGUAUGAUUAUCGCUUAGGAUGCGAGAGGUCACGGGUUCGAUUCCCGUGCAAGCCC